rnacentral:lncRNA from 1 species
UUUUUUUUUUUUUUGGUAAAGGUAAUUAAAUUAAAAGAGGGGAAGCUUACAAAAGAUCGGAACCAUAACCCACACUCUGACCAGUGGCGGCAAAGUGAGGGGGAUCCGAUGUAAAAGAGCACAAGGCUACACGAUAAGCGACGAAACUCCUAAGGAAGAAAGAAGACAAACGGAGACAACCUCCGAACCUCCUGCACUCUACCUAAAGGCAAAGAACGGAAUUACAACCAGAUACGGAAAACAAGAAGGAUCAACAGGAGACCGAGGAGAAGACCGCCGGAUCAAAGCCCCAUCCUCUCUGAAGCCGCUUGUUCCUCGGAGCAGGAUCGACAUUCUUGAAGGUACUAACCUUGUCCUUAACCACCUUAAUUGUUCAUCUACUUCUUUUCGCAUAUUUGCGAUUGAGGAGCAGCUCCUCCCGUUGAACUUGGGCUUUACGUUAAAGGGAGAAAAUUCAUCAUGAGACAGAGAAUGUCAAAAAGAUUUUUGAUGUGAGUGAAGGUUAUGCAUUAAGUUUGAAAGGGGAUCUGCUUGUCGGUAAUCUCCAGUGGUUUCUAAUUAGGGUUUCCGAAAAUCUUAAGAGAAUCUUAUGCGUUUCUAUUAGAAAAUAAAGAAGAAAAUGACCUCUAAAUUCUCAUAAUUUGCCCCUCAAUGAAAGAAAAACGGUGAUGAAUGGUUCAAGUUUUCUGUAUGUGAUGUCUGAUAGACACCGCAUCAGCAUCACACACCUUAAAAAAAUAUUCAGAAAAAAAAAUCAAUGUUAGCAUUUUUGGCUAACCAAAUUCAAUAAAGUUAAUGAAGAGACUCAAUAGCACUGAUUUAACUAAUUUUAAAACUCAAUUACACUUUCAUAAUAAUUUUUAACAUUUUCAGUGCGCUCAUCUCAUCAUUUUAAAUGUAGGACUUUUCAUGAAAAUAUGCAAUUUUCAUAAUAAUAGGAGAUGUGCAAAUCUUUCAACUCAACUAGUUAGGUAAAGUGUAUAAGUAAAUUUUCACUUACAUGAUGGUAACUUGUCCUCAAAGAUGCUUCGCAUGAGUGAUGCUAUGAUUUGAACAGAUAUCUACCCUAUUGAAAUUACUUGAUAGAUCGUUUAAUUAAUCAUUUGUCAAAUUCAUCAAAAUUGUGAGUUUCGAAAGUACUUGUUUCUUUUUCUUUUUCUUUUUUUACUUUUUCUUUUUUGGGAAAGUUGAUCCUUUUUAUGAGGUGAGAAGGACUAACUCAAUUAUUUUCAUGAAUUUUUGUUUAUUUGUGACCCGAGUUAGAUCACCAUAGCUUGUCUGAGUGGGCCAUGAGUCGGAUCAUGGAAGCUGGUCCACCAAAUAACAGAACAUAUGCAGAGAUCAGAGAAGGUGAGAAAGGUGAAAUGGACCCAACAUUAACUUGCCAGUCAAUAUAUAUAGUUGAAUGAGUAACAUGAAGGGGAGCAGAGAAAGAGACCCACCUAUAUAUAUAUAUAUAUAAAUAAUUAAAUGAGUAACAUGAAGGUGAGCAGAGAGAGAGGGAGACCCACCUGUUGGUUGACUGUUGGCCCUUUUCGUUUGACCCUAUAAAUUCUCCGACACCCUCUCUACUCAGCCUAAGCCUGUCUCUGCCCCCAUCUACUCUAUAAUUUCAACCACUGCCCGCCUGGAAAAAAGAAUAUCCCUGUUCAGCCCUCCCCCUUUGGAUCCUCACCCACACACAAAAAAAUCAUAAUUAUUUUUCUUAAUUCUUAUUCCACAUAGUCUUGCAAAAUGAAAUUAUGAAACCAUAUCUUCUUCAUACUAAUUUAUUGUGUGAACAUAGAUGAUCUGUCCCUGUUGUCAAGAUGAGAAAAUUUAUUAUAGUCCGAUAAGUAAAAGAUAUUCCAGAAAAGGGCUUAGUAAAGAGGAAAAAUAAUAAUUCAAAUCAGUCCAUGAAGUAGCUUUAGAUGGCAUGAUCAGGAAGUUGUGAGGUACAUAAAUAUACUACUAUGGAAUGGCAAAUAUUCAAAUCGCAUGCCAUUUCACUUUCAUAUUCGAAGGAAGCGAGCGCACAUAUGCAUUAAAACUAAUAAAGAUUGCUUGAUUAGAAUAUUUAUGGACAAAUUUUACUAAUAAUAGCUACCUCGCAUUUUUUUUAACAUACAGUAAUUAUGCAAUUUAGAUAAAAAAUUUUAUUCAUACCCGUAUAAGAGAAGUAGGCCAACUAACUUUAUUUAGACUCCAUUUAUUUUACGAGAAAUAAUGAUUUGAGAAAUAUUUUCCAAAAAUCGAUUAUUUACAUAAAUGAAUGAAUGAAAAUAUUUUCCUCGUUUAAGAAAAUGUUUAGAAAAAUUGUUAUUGAUAAUAAAAAUAUUUUUUAUUGAUUAAGUAUUUCAAGCGAUAUAAGUAAUCAUUUAAAAAAAAUCAAAAUGAAAUAAGAGUGAUUUCUGCUUUCAACUUCAUACUUCUUAGAAAAUAUGCUACUGGAAAAGUUUGACUUUUAUUUGCCGGGGAAAUAUCUAAAAUCCUUUAUAAAGGAGACUUACAUAGACAUGGUGGAAACUAUAUAUGAAAUUUGAUAAAUUAAAAAUGUUUUGGAGGAAUAAUUAGAGAUGAAGUGACAAUUAGAUUAAUAUGAUAAAAGCAAAUCCAUUGGAAAUAGGAGUUAAGGUGGUAGAACUUAACAAGACAGGUUGAAGCUUCUGAUACUUUAUUGAGGCUCGAUCCUCUGGCCCGAAUCGAAGCCCAAUUUCAGCAGUACAGACCCAUAUCGACCCAAAAACCAAAUGUAAAAGAAGAAAAGAAAGAGGAAAAAUCUUAUAAAGUUCUUAUUCGUCUCAAAUGUUCUUAUGAAGUCCUUCAGUUGUUCAUUUCGUGUAAUAAUCUAUCAAUUUGAGUCGAAUCACUGAUUCAUGACACAAAUAGCAAUGUUUAUUCUUCAUUAUGCAAAAGUGAAUUUUCUAUCUAAGAAUGAUGGGCACCUCGUGUAUCUUACAUUGUAAGAACCAUAAAUCUCGGUCUCUUCAUCUUGAAAUUGCAUUGCUCAAAACAUUAUAACCCUGGUUAGGCUGUUACUAUAGGUUAAUCACAUUCGUUGCACAUAUGGCACAUUGAAUGGCAGUUGUAUAGUAUCUCUUAGACAUUGCUUCAAAGAAAGUUUUGGACAAUGACAAGAGAGUUUUCCAAAACUUUCAUUUUGUGCAUUUAAUUCCUAGAACUUGUCAUAAUUGUCAACUUUGAUCCAUCUAUUAUCUCCUUUGGAUUUUAGACGAUGAAAAAUUUCAUGUGACCUGUUUUGCUAAAAAUCACAUAGGAUUGAAAAAAUAAAUGAAAAACUCAUAUGGCCUUUUUUGUCCAUGUGAAAUUGCUGUAGCUAAUGGAAGGACAUAGAGUGCAUUGAAGUUGCAAAUUUAGGACUUAAAUGCAUGAAGUAUAAUUUAUAAAACUCGAGUGCAUUAUCGUGACAAAUUUUAAAACUUAUUAUGUAAUUGUGCCAAGAAAGUUCCAUCCAAUAGGUAAUGUUAUAGGGCCAAGUGAACAAAAAAGAGUAACAUGAAUAUUUUGGCUAACCCUUUCCGAGGACUUCAUCAAACGAUGAAUUCACACAACAUAGACGAAUUACAUAGUGCCACGAGAUAAAUGGACUUAUGAAUUUGAUUGUUACCUUACUAACUCUAGGCACAGAGAGAAAUGGGAGAUCAUACUUGAAAUUCCAAAUCAAGAGAGACAGCUUAGUAGAUUCAAUAUCUACCCACAACUCAAGAGUCUAAUGACUAGAGUGGUUGGCGACAUGUAGGGCAAGUAGACUGAGAAAGCAGCCACUUAUCAAUGCAACCAACAUGGAAUCUGUGGCUGCAUUUGGGGAGCACCCUCGUGUUCUCUCCCGGCGAGAAAUCCAUGAGGCAAAUGGCGCAGGCUAAGGGCGGCGAACACGAUGGCGACGGGCCUGAGUUUGCAUAAGUCGAGGUCGGUAGAGCUUCCGCAUCUUUCUUCUUAAGACCCGGGACUGACCGGCGAGACGCCUCCACCCAAUGGACGGGCUCGUGGACCAAACGCUGGGCGCACUGGACGACACAUUGUAGCAUAGAGUUAAGACCUAGGGCGCAUAACAGGGCGCACAGCAUGGCCGCGAUUAUCACCAUGACGUUGAGGUUGAUCGCCUCCUCAUUGAACUGUCCGUUCCGGGACGGGGUUGGGCCGGGGGUGGGAGAGGGGGGUGAAGUUUCAUCCAUAUGGGCAAGUUCGAUGUGAAGACUAGACUAGAGGUGGGAGAAGAGAUGGGGAAAAAGAGUGGGGAGGGGGACACAUAGUACAUGUAAAUAAAGAGGAGAUGAGGUUCACUCCAGUGUUGUUGUAAUCUUCUAGAGUUGGCAUGGGGAUAUGCUUAUCUGAUCAUCCACUUAAACUUCCCUUUUGUUUUUCAUUGGGCGUGGCCUGGGAGGGAGAUGGACAGAGGGCAUCUUUUCUCUCCAUCUCUCGUUUGAUG